AGAGUUGAUCAUGGCUCAGGAUGAACGCUAGCUACAGGCUUAACACAUGCAAGUCGAGGGGUAACAAGAGGAAAGCUUGCUUCCUGUGACGACCGGCGCACGGGUGAGUAACGCGUAUCCAACCUGCCUAUAACUAGGGAAUAACCUUGCGAAAGUAAGACUAAUACCCUAUGAUUUCCUUUGAUGACAUCAGAUUAGGAAUAAAGAUUUAUCGGUUAUAGAUGGGGAUGCGUCUGAUUAGCUUGUUGGCGGGGUAACGGCCCACCAAGGCAACGAUCAGUAGGGGUUCUGAGAGGAAGGUCCCCCACAUUGGAACUGAGACACGGUCCAAACUCCUACGGGAGGCAGCAGUGAGGAAUAUUGGUCAAUGGGCGAAAGCCUGAACCAGCCAAGUAGCCGUGCAGGAUGACGGCCCUAUGGGUUGUAAACUGCUUUUAUACAGGAAUAAAGUUAGCCACGUGUGGUUAUUUGUAGGUACUGUAUGAAUAAGGACCGGCUAAUUCCGUGCCAGCCGCAGC
rnacentral:rRNA from 1 species